rnacentral:rRNA from 1 species
UCCUGGCUCAGGAUAAACGACUGGCGGCGCACAUAAGACAUGCAAGUCGAACGGACUUAACUCAUUCUUUUAGUAUUGAGAGCGGUUAGUGGCGGACUGGUGAGUAACACGUAAGCAACCUGCCUAUCAGAGGGGAAUAACAGUGAGAAAUCAUUGCUAAUACCGCAUAUGCUCACAGUAUCACAUGAUACAGUGAGGAAAGGAGCAAUCCGCUGAUAGAUGGGCUUGCGUCUGAUUAGUUAGUUGGUGGGGUAACGGGCCUACCAAGACUACGAUCAGUAGCCGGACUGAGAGGUUGAACGGCCACAUUGGGACUGAGAUACGGCCCAGACUCCUACGGGAGGGCAGCAGUCGGGAAUAUUGCGCAAUGGAGGAAACUCUGACGCAGUGACGCCGCGUAUGGGAAGAAGGUUUUCGGAUUGUAAACUAUUGUCAUUAGGGAAGAUAAAAGACUGUACCUAAGGAGGAAGCCCCGGCUAACUAUGUG